GACGAACGCUGGCGGCGUGCUUUACACAUGCAAGUCGAACGGAGAAGCACCUUCGGGUGUGGAUCAGUGGCGAACGGGUGAGUAACACGUGGGUAACCUGCCCCUCACUUCGGGAUAACUCCGGGAAACCGGGGCUAAUACUGGAUAUCACCAGACCGGGCAUCCGGACUGGUUGAAAGGGUUUACUGGUGAGGGAUGGACCCGCGGCCUAUCAGCUAGUUGGUGGGGUAAUGGCCUACCAAGGCGACGACGGGUAGCCGGCCUGAGAGGGCGACCGGCCACACUGGGACUGAGACACGGCCCAGACUCCUACGGGAGGCAGCAGUGGGGAAUAUUGCGCAAUGGACGAAAGUCUGACGCAGCAACGCCGCGUGAGGGAACGAAGGCCUUUGGGUUGUAAACCUCUUUCAGCAGGGACGAAGCGAAAGUGACGGUACCUGCAGAAGAAGCACCGGCUAACUACG
rnacentral:rRNA from 1 species